GCGGAUGUGUCGGAAUGGCAGACGAAGCAGACUCAAAAUCUGCCGGGGUUUCCCCGUGCGGGUUCAAGUCCCGCCAUCCGCA
rnacentral:tRNA from 3 species